rnacentral:rRNA from 1 species
AUGCAGUUCCCGUUCCGCCGCGCGCCGGCGUCGCCGGCGCCCAUGACGAUGCUGUCCCUCCCGAGCAAGACGCCGCAGGGCUUCGCGGAGGACACCUCGGCCGCGGAGGGGGACGGCGACCUGAGGGAGUUGCUACACUGCCGCAGCCGCCUCGUCCAGACCUACUCGGACAAGAAGGGCGCCGCGGCCACGCGCGGGGACCUCCUACGCGCGUACGUCCGCGAGCUCGACGCCAUCGCCCCGCGCUUCGACGAGGCGGCCGGACGGCACCGGCUUUGCUUCGCGUGGCGGGACGCUGGGACGAUCCGUCGCCGGACGCACACCACGCUGUCCGCCGAGCGGGCGGUGGCGCUGUUCGCGCUGGCCACGGAGCAGGCCCGCGCGGCCGCGGAGGAGGACAGGCGCGAGGCCGACGGGAUACGGCGCGCGUGCGCCGCGCUCUGCGACGCGGCGGGCCUGCUGAGGGCGGCGUCGGAGGGGGGAGACCACGCGGCGAGCUGCCAGCUGCGGCACAUGUCCGGCGCGUGCAUGGCAGCGUUCGAGGCGCUGAUGCUCGCCCAGGCGCUCGAGUGCUACUUCGAGCUCGCCGUCGCGGGAGGCAAGCCGGCGGCGCUGUGCUGCAAGAUGGCCCAGCAGGUGAGCCUGGACUACGACCGGGCGCACCGCUCCAUGACGGCGCACGAGCAGCACCAGGUCGACAAGUCGUGGCCGGCGAACGCGCAGGCCAAGGCGGCCUACUUCCGCGGCGAGGCGUGCCUGCGGUCGGCGCGGCUGCUGCGCGAGAACGGUGACGGUGCCGGCGGCGGCGUGGGCGAGGCGAUCGCGCGGCUGAGGCAGGGGCUGGCGUCCCUGGAGGGCGCCAAGGGCGCGCUCGGGAGGGCGGCUGCGCCGGUGCGGGACGCGGUGAAGCGGCUCCGGAAGGAGGUGGAGGCCGAUCUGGCGGCGGCCGAACAGGACAACUGCAGGAUCUACUACGCGCGCGUGCCAACCGCGGCCGCGCUGGCCGAGCUGCCCGGACUACCGCAGCAGCUCGUGCGGCCCACCGCCGUGGAAAAGAUCCUCGAGCGGGGAGCUCUGGACAAGGCGCCGCCGGCGGCGGCGGCUGAAGAAAAAACGAGCUAG